GUGGGUAUAACUCAGUGGUAGAGGGCAUGCUUAGCAUGCAUGAAGUCCUGGGUUCCCCAGUACCUCCA
rnacentral:tRNA from 1 species